UACGUAGGGGGCGAGCGUUGUCCGGAUUUACUGGGCGUAAAGAGCGCGUAGGCGGAAAUUUAAGCGUGGCCUGAAAGCCCCCGGCUCAACCGGGGAGUGCGGCUGCGAACUGGGUUUCUUGAGGACGGAUAGAGGAGAGUGGAAUUCCUGGUGUAGCGGUGAAAUGCGUAGAUAUCAGGAGGAACACCCGAGGCGAAGGCGGCUCUCUGGGUCGUACCUGACGCUGAGGCGCGAAAGCGUGGGGAGUGAACGGG
rnacentral:rRNA from 1 species